GCAGCCGUGGCCGAGUGGUUAAGGCGUCUGACUAGAAGUCAGAUUCCCUCUGGGAGCGUCGGUUCAAGUCCUGGCGACUGCG